rnacentral:lncRNA from 1 species
GGCACCAAAGAAGGCACACUGGAGUCGACAGAUGUAGAAGCGCCUUACAUAACGGGGUACAUUUCUGCACAAGGCACAAAGAAAGUAGAAGCACCUUACCUAACUGGAUACAAUUCUGCGCAAGGCACAAAGGGCAAAAAAGAAGUAGAGGCACCUUACAUAACCGGAUACAUUUCUGCACAAGACACAAAGGAAGUAGAAGCACCUUACCUAGCCGGAUACAAUUCCGCGCAAGGCACAAAGGGCAAAAGAGAAGUAGAGGCACCUUACAUAACCGGAUACAUUUCUGCACAAGGCACAAAGAAUGUAGAAGCACCUUACCUAGUCGGAUACAAUUCUGCGCAAGGCACAAAGAGCAAAAAAGAAGUAGAGGCACCUUACAUUACCGGAUACAUUUCUGCACAUGGCGCAAAGAACUG